GCCGAAAAGCCGAAAUGCCGAAAACUAGUAUUUUGUAGAUUUGCGAGUGUACGAAUGCUCGUGAGGUAAAUCGAUUAAUGUUUUUGGUAAGCUGCAAUGUUUGGACUGGAAAGUGCAUGAUUUCUGUGCCCUCGAUAUUUUUGGGCUUAAUGGGCCAAAAUUGGAAUGAUGGGCCAACGGGCCCAAUUCGGAAAUCCCCAACAAUAGUGGGCUUGGAGCUGUGAGGGAAUUCGAAGUGGCCACCCGUUCUGAAAGUUUGAUUUUCUUCUGGUGAACUGGACAUCCUUUUAUUUACGUUUGAAGUUUUUGGGAUUUUAAAUGUAAUAAGGCCGCUUAAUUAUUUUUGAUGGUUUUAAUAUGUAUUACUAAGAUAGGUAAUACUUA